UCCCUUGUGGCUCAGCUUGUAAAGAAUCUGUCUGCAAUGUAGGAGACCUGGGUUCGAUCCCUGGCUUGGGAA
rfam:TPA: Bos taurus chromosome 7, whole genome shotgun sequence.